ACAUUCACACGCUCAGAGGUGGGCAUUUACAAACGGAUGUGAAUGAAUUGAAAGCUCUCACAGCGGGGGCUGACCACCUCUUCACUCAGCCAGUGACUCAUGCGGAGGGCGUGCUUAAAAGACGUUGUUCAUCAGGCUCAGACUGGAACAGCAGUAUUAAUUGGAAGUAUGUAAGCGAGCAGUUGCAGUUAACACAAUGGGAUUGCUGCGCUUUAUCAAAAGCACACACGCGGCUGUGGCUCGCACAAUGAGACGGGGGAGUCACGUUAACAGCACACGUCUAGGCUCGUUUCUUACAGCACUACAGACCAUUUGUGUUCCACUGCUCCGAUACCUCAAGGGUGACUGCUCUACUGCUCGUGUUCAUGGUGGUUCCAGCAAUCAAGCUUAAGAUCAAACAGAAAUGCAGCACAGCCAUUUAAAACACACUCCUGUGCAAGGCUCAUAUCCCACGACAGAUUAUAAUCCACC